rnacentral:lncRNA from 1 species
CGAAGGCUUUUUGGACGCGCUGCUCGCCCUCGUCCGUGACAUUCCGACGCGGCUGUGACGGGGCCGGGGUGCGCACCGCAGGCCUGGGUGGCCGCGUCCGGGGCGGGGGGCUGUGCCCUCGACGGGAGGGCCGCGGGGCUGGGGGCGGGGCGGGGGCGGGGCGGGGGCGGGGCGGGGCGGGGCUGGGGCUGGGGGCGGGGCGUGGCGGGGGCGGGGCGGGGCGGUGGCCCGGCGCGCAGCAGGUGUCCCGCGGCCCCGACGACAGUCCUUGUCCGUGCCGGUGUCUACCCUCUGACGUCUGCGAGCGCCGUCCGUGUCCUCAGUUCUUGCCAAAAAUACAGCCACGGGGCCCUGACACUUCUGCCGAAACACUUGAAGGGUCUGGGAACCCGGGUUUACGCACGGGGUCCGGGGGGGCUUGGCCCCGCCCCCGCCCAGCCCCGCCCCCGCCCGCCCCUCCGUCCCGCCCUCGGCCCCGCCCCCGCCCCCGCCCAGCCCCGCCCCCGCCCGCCCGUCGCCCCGCCCCUCCGUCCCGCCCCGCCCCGCCCGCCCGCCCGUCGCCCCGCCCCCGCCCGGUGCCCGCCCCCUCUGCUCCGCGGGCCGCAGGGUGGAGGCUGGCGGUGGAGCGACCUCGCCCGGUCGCGGGGUUCCGCGGAGGCUGGGUCCCCGGCCUGGAGCGGGGAGUCCGUGGGAGGAGCGGGGCUCCCGCGGGCGAGCUGGGCCGGGGCUCCGCGUGCCGCUCGGCUGACGGGUUCGGAGGGAGCUGGCCUGCAGAUUCUCCCCCAACCGGAGGAGGACAGCUCUGACCGGCCUCUUCGCGUUAGCUUGUUCUUAAACACACCUGUGAGACUCACUUGGGGUUUCCUGUUCAAAACCAGAUUCUGGGGAUCCCUGCGGGGCUCAGUGGUGGAGCACCUGCCUUCGGCCCACGGCGUGACCCCGGGGUCCCAGGAUGGAGUCCCGUGUCCGGCUCCCUGCGUGGAGCCUGCUUCUCCCUCUGCCCGUGUCUCUGCCUCUCUCUGUGUGUGUCUCUCGUGAAUAAAUAAAUAAAAAUCUUAAACAAGCAAACCCAAAACAGAUUCUGGAGCCUUACCUCAAAUCCAUUAAAGUGUCACCUACAGGAGAGUAACACGUGACUGUUAUUUUGCCUGCUCCAGGGACUCUCACAGUAGGGAGGUUGGAGGAUGCUAGAGCUGUAAGAACAGGUGCUGCUUGGGGGGACCAGGUGACUAACCGGAGGGAGCCUUCUGGGUGAGGGAGUUCCGCAGUGGAAGAGCUUCACUGGGUUAAGCUUGUGUGUCGCUUUCCUGCCAGACACGCGGCUCCUGGUGUGGCGGCCACUGGCACCGUAGCCCACUGCAAAAUGCCUUUUGAGGGAAGUCAGAUGCUUCUUUUUAAAUGAGCUCUACACCCAAUGUGGGGUUGAACCCAUGACCGCAAGGUCGUGAAUCACAUGCUCUGCCAACUGGGGACCCCAGGACUUCUCUGGGUUAAAAAGACUCUUUUCAAGAGUAUCAGCAUGUGGAGGCCGAGAAAAUCAAGGCCAUUCCACCUCAAGUUCAGCGUCUCAGGGCCCUGGGAAUAAGAGCUGAACUGUACAGGAAAAACCGCACAACACCCUUGACGGAGAGUCCCAUAACAGAAUGAGAACAGAGCUUAAUGCCCUUGACAGAAAAUCCCAUAUCAGAAUGAAAGCAGAGCUCAGAACGCCCUGGACAGAGACAGAAAGUCCCAUAUUGGAAUGAAAACAGAACUUAAGAAAUUCCUCCCCCCUUCUGAAAAUCCCCUAGACCAGCCCAUAAAAACCCAGCUGGAAGCCCCCUCGGGGUCCAAGUCCCUGCUCCACUGGGUCGGGUGCACUUGGACCCAAGCUUGAGCUUGUGAAUAAACCCUCAUGUGUUUGCAUCGGUGUCGGCUCCUCGGUGGUUUCUCGGAUUCGCAAUCUUGGGCACAGCAAGCAUCACAUAAUCAGAAAGUGUGCGCACGCGUGUAGCUACGGAGUUACAGCGGGGUGGGUUAGACGUUACGGUGGUCUUGUGAAUGUGUGCAAAAGACUGAUGGCAGUUACAAUUUGUUCUCUUGUAGUUGCUCCUAAGAAUAGAACAUAUGCAUCUGAUGCCACGUGAUUGUGAAAUUUAAUACCAAUUCAAUCUUAAAUUGUUCAGGUGUCUGUUAAUACUUUAAAACCUUUUCUGGUAUCGAUUUAUAGUGCAACCUCAUGUAUUUGGGACAUGCAGGGAGAAGGCCAAUCGGAGUUAAUGAGAAUCCUGAAAAACGGAGUAUGUGUGACUUCAAUACAUAUAGACUCAUCUGUAUGGUUAUUUACCCAAGUAAAUGUAUAGAAAUGCAGAGUAAGGGGAUCCCUGGGUGGCCCAGUGGUUUGGCACCUGCCUUUGGCCCAGGGUGCGAUCCUGGGGUCCCGGGAUCGAGUCCCACGUCGGGCUCCCUGCAUGGAGCCUGCUUCUCCCUCUGCCUGUGUCUCUGCCUCUCUCUCUCUCUCUCAUGAAUAAAUAAAUAAAUAAAUCUUAAAAAAAAAAAAAAGAAAAGAAAUGCAGAGUAAUCCAGAGCUUUGGGCACAGUUCAUGUCCUCCUUUGGUCCAUAUCUCUCAUUUAAAUAAUUCUUAAUUGUUAAACAGAGGUAGCACUACAAUUGUAAGGAUGAAGAAACCAAACCUGAUUGCUUCAGUGUCGUUAUUUCAUGUGACCAGUUAGGGUUUUCAUUUGCGUGGAAAAUUUAAGGACGAAACAAAGUACAAACUUUGAGGUAUAACAUUGCUGGUUGGUAAGUACAAAUUUUAGUUCAUAUAUGAAAUUAUUCUUUUAAAUAAUUGAAUGAAAUAUUUUUAGCUUUGAAAUUUAUUCUUUUUUGUUAAUGUUUACUAAAGAACAAGAGAAUAGGAGAUGUAUUGUGUUUAUUUAGUACUUCAACAGACCAAAAUGUAGAACUUUCUUCAAAAAUGUUAAUUGCAGUACUUUUUUGGGGGUGCUAUAAUAUUUAUUUUAUAUUGGCAUAUAAGUGGAGUUGAAUAAAAGAAUUUUCAUGGCCUGGGGGUGCCUGGGUAGCUCAGUCAGUUAAGCAUUCAACUUUUUUUUUUUUUUUUUUUUUUUUUUUUUUUUUUUUUUUUUUUUUUUUUUUUUUUAGCAUUCAACUUUUGAUUUCAGCUCAGGUCAUGAUCUCAGGGUGAGAUGGAGCCCUGAAUCCACACUCUGCGUGGAGUCAGCUUGGCAUUCUCUCCGCCCAUGUCGUCCCUCCGCCCCCCAAGCUCACUUGUGUGCACAUGCGUGCUCUCUCUCUCUCGAAUAAAAAAAUAAAAUCUUAAAAAAAAGAAUUUUCACAAUCAGUAUCUUUCCUGGCUAUUAUAUUUGCUUCAUUUCAUGAUCAUUACUUGAAAUAAUUUUGUCACAUAGAGGAAGUGGCGUUAAAAAUAAUACCCCCUGUAUGUCAUAUUCUGAU